rnacentral:siRNA from 1 species
ACUCACACGAUUGUGCCACAUGUC